rnacentral:rRNA from 1 species
UCUGACGGUCAGAGAUGGACCUUCCCUUCGGGGCAUAGAGCACAGGUGCUGCAUGGCUGUCGCUCAGCUCGUGUCGUGAGAUGUUGGGUUAAGUCCCGCAACGAGCGCAACCCCCGUCCUUAGUUGCUACCAUUUAGUUGAGCACUCUAAGGAGACUGCCGGUGAUAAGCCGCGAGGAAGGUGGGGAUGACGUCAAGUCCUCAUGGCCCUUACGGGCUGGGCUACACACGUGCUACAAUGGCGGUGACAAUGGGACGCUAAGGGGCAACCCUCCGCAAAUCUCAAAAAGCCGUCUCAGUUCGGAUUGGGCUCUGCAACUCGAGCCCAUGAAGUUGGAAUCGCUAGUAAUCGUGGAUCAGCAUGCCACGGUGAAUACGUUCCCGGGCCUUGUACACACCGCCCGUCACACCAUGGGAGUUGGUUCUACCUGAAGGCA